UGACAUUCCUGCAACAGCAACCACAGGGGAAGCAAGACCACUCCAGCAGCAUUCCUGCUAGGACACCCCAUUUAUUACAACUUUCAGGUUCCCAUUUCGGAGCCAGCCGCAGCUCUGCCGGGAUCACAUGGCGAACGGGAUCACCAGGAGCAGCGAGGUUUCUGGGGAGCAGCCCUGGGCAUUGCAUCGCUCCCUCCUCCCCUCUCGCUCUGUUUCCACCCCCUGAGCAGCUUCGCUAGAGAAGCAGUUGCGAGCGGUGCAGCGGCCGCCGCCGCCAGCUGUGACGAAUGAGGGCGAAGAUCUUAUCGGCAGAAGGAAGUGCUCCGCUGCUCUUCUCCGAAGCCGCCGCGCUUAACAGAUCUAUCUGUUAAGAGAUCUUUCUACAUACUAAGAAUUCUUCAGUUAUUUAUAUAACACAGUAGAUGUGCCUGGAGCUUACAGGCAAGGAAAAAACAAAAGAGUUGCCCGUCUGCAAGUCAAGGUAAGCAAAAAGCAGAGUGGGGGAGAGGGAAAUGGUAGAAGAAAUGCCAGAUCCAAGGAAACCCCAUGUGGAGACCAUGUUCCAUUAGAACAGGAGUGGGCAAACUUUUUGGCCUGAGGGCCACAUCGGGUUUCCGAAAUUGUGUGGAGGGCCGGUUCCCCAAACAGCCAGACGUGGCCAGGCCCCCACCCCCUAUCCGACCCCCUGUGCUUCUUGCCCCCGACAGUCCCCCCGGGGCUCCUGCCCCAUCCACCCGCCCCUCCCCCCCACUCCCUGGCCCCUGACUGCCCUCUGCCGUCCCAUCCAACCCCUCCUCUCAUUCCUGACUGCCCUCCCAGGACCCCUGCCCCAUCCAACCACCCCUUCUCCCUGUCCCCUGACCGCCCCCGGAAUGCCAGCCCCUGACUGUCCCCUGCCACCCCAUCCAACCUCCUCUCUCCUUCCUGACUGCCCCCCCCGGGAUCCCUGCUCCCAUUCAACCCGCCUGUUCCCUAACCUCUGACCGUCCCAACCCCUAUCCACACCCCCGUCCCCUGACCACCACCCCAAACUCCACUGCCCUCUAUCCAACCGCCCUCCCCUCGCUCCCUGCCCCCUUACUGCACUGCCUGGAGCACCGGUGGCUGGCGACGCUAAAAGCCAUGCCGCCCUGAGCACCAGGACAGGCAGCCGUGCCACCUGGCUGGAGCCAGCCACACCACCGUGCAGCACAGAGCCCCGCUGCCCAGAGCAUUGCGCCAGUGGCGCAGUGAGCUGAGGCUCCGGGGGAGGGGGAACAGCAGGAGAGGGGUCAGUGGCUAGCGUCCCCAGCCGGGAGCUCAUGGGCCCGGCAGGAAGGUCCCGUGGGCUGUAGUUUGCCCACCUCUGCAUUAGAAUCAUAGGAUUAGAAGGGCCCACAAGAGUCAUCUAGUCUAACCCCCUGCCAAGAUGCAGGAUUUGUUGUGUCUAAACCAUCUAAGGCAGAUGGCUGUCCAGCCUCCUUUUGAAAAUCUCCAGUGAAGAAGCUUCCACAACCUCUCUAGGCAGUCUGGUCCAUUGUCCUACUGUUUUUACAGUUAGGAAGUUUUUCCUGAGAUUCAAUCUAAAUCUGCUAUGCUGUAGUUUGAACCCACUAUUUCUUGUCCUGCCCUCUGUGGACAAAGAACUACAUCCAUCUUUUUUAUGUCAGCCUUUCAAGUAUCUGAAGACAGCUAUCAUUGUUGUAGGAGCAGCAGUUAUCUGUAUGCUAUGUAUAACCUGUAUGCUCAAAAGGUCUGUUAUGCUUCCCCCCUCCUUUGUCUCCUCUCCCUUUCUGAAUACCUGUGAAGUGGCUUUCCCUCUCCCCCUCCCUCCUGAAAUGCUUGUGGGAUGAAUGGGCUGGUUGAACAGCUGGAAGAUCAGAAGAGCUCCCAGGUAGACAAGGUGUCUGGGACUCUAAUUAGGCAGCGAUCACACACCCAAUGCAUGGACACUGCAUGGACACUGCCUGAGGUAGAGUGUGACCAAUCACAUGCGGCCAAGUCAUCUCUAGUCACAGGCCAUGAGGAACAGGUCCUUAACAGGGGAAGGGGCCAUGUGCUCAGGAGUGCCCUCACAAGCUUGUACCUCCCGUGAAGGCCUUUCGCCCGGACCGCCUGGCCAGUGGUUCACUGCGUUGCAUUCCAUCGUGCCUUGGGAAGACUUACCUUCAUCACACCGUCCAUCGCUGUGCUGUGGAACACUUACCUUGAAGGAUCCUGACAUCUCCAGUGUCAUGCCUGUCCUGGGAGCGUGAGGAUGCGAGUGUGAAUGUGACACCCCCCCACACCUUUUGAGCUUAGCUAUCAAUAUAAUAAACGUGCUGCUUUCUGCCAAACUCUGGUGGGUCAUUAGUCCUCCCUAAGCUUACUAGCUGGGCCAAUUUCAGGUAACAUUAAUGGUGGAGAAUGCGGGCAGCUUAGUGGAGAAUUUGACCCAAGAGUAAGGUUCCCCUGGUGCCACCCCCGCUCUCCCCCCGGUGGUCUCUUGGGUGGGUCUAUCUCGAGCCUGUGUGAAAAAGUGGUAGGCUAGCAACCCACUGCAGGGAGAAAAGGAUACUGCUGUUAAGUAUGCCAUUAUGGGGCAAGGGGAAGAAAAAGGCAAAGCAGUCUGAGCGAGAAGACACCUCCCCCGUGGGGAGCGGCAUCUCUGCCUGGGGUGUUGUUAGAAUGGCUCCAAAAGAAAGGGGCGGACCCCUGGAUCCCAGGGGCGGUUCCACCUGGGAGUACAAUUCAUGAGUUGGAGAAGGAACGGGAUAUGUGGAAUGUGCAGGCUCUGACUGCUAGCGCCCAGGCAUCUUCCCUCUGUAGCCGCAGUACAGGUGGUGACAGCAGAGGAGGAGCGGGAGUGGGUGGAAGUAGAGAAUGCCGCUCUGAGCCAGGUAGUUACCUGCCUGAAGGAUCUGGUCCUGGAGGGGUCCGCCCAGGAGAACAGGAUCCGGGGGCCUUAUUCAGCCUGGGUCACUGCCAUUGGGGUGAAAGCCCAGGGGGGUGCGGGACCAUAUAACGAUUGGGACAGGGAUAUCUGGUAUGAUCAGGAUCCCCCGGAUCCAGACUCCCGGUGGCCGGACCCCAGACACCAUGGACAACUCAAACGAGCAGGGUCUGCCGCGGUGGGAGCACUGUGCUAAUUUGUUUCUAAGCAUCUAUCUUUCAGCCUCCAAACCAGAACAUCAGGAGAGCUGGUACCAGCUGAAGAGUUAUAAAAAUACCAUGGUUAUAGUGUCGCGACAAAGUCUGUGUUCAGUGCUCUGUGUUGCAUGUUCUGUGUCUGUCUCUGGUGGAUGUCCUGUGCUAGGUUGGGUCCAGAGAGAGAGGGGAUACUACACUAGACAGGGUAAAUGCCUUUUCCUCUCCCUACUUCCCUCAUCUCCAACCAAAUUAUCAAUCACAUCCACCUCUGUCCAAAAGACUUUGGCCCCCAAUACAUCAGGAUUAUUUUUGGUUAGGUUCUCUAAUAAUCAUUUUGUUGUUAAGUUUUGUUAUUGAUACUGGUACUCCUACAAAUCUUAUUUGUUGUGUGUACUUAAGGGCUACGGUUGACUUUUAUUGUUUGAUGGCUAUUGCAGCAUCAAACUUGGGCCUCAUUUUGUUUGUCAAUGUACCCAAUUAUUGUAAUGGUGAUGGUUUUACUGUAUUCCCAAUUAUUAUUAUUGUGAUUGUUUGCAUUUGUAUUAUGUUAUAUCUGGUGUUAGUCAAUUGUAAUGGUUUUAGUUAUAUUCAUCUGGUUAUGACUGUUUGGUUUGUUUGCAACAGAUCACCUGUGUCCUACAACAACAACAGCUACUGUAAUGAUAAUAGAUCAAUGGGCGGAGUGUUGUAGGAGCAGCAGUGAUCUGUAUGCUAUGUAUAACCUGUAUGCUCAAAAGGUCUGUUAUACCCCCACCCUUUUGUCUCCUCUCCCUCUCUGAAUACCUGUGAAGUGGCUUUUCCCCUCCCCCUCCCUCCUGAAAUGCUUGUGGGAUGAAUAGGCUGGUUGAACGGCUGGAAGAUCAGAAGAGCUCCCAGGUAGACAAGGUGUCUGGGACUCUAAUUAGGCAGCACUCAAACACCCAAUGCAUGGACACUGCCCGAGGUGGAGUGUGACCAACCAGACGCAGCCAAGUCAUCUCUAGUCGCAGGCCAGGAGGAGCAGGUCCUUAAAAGGGGAAGGGGCCAUGUGCUCAGGAGUGCACUCACAAGCUUGUACCUCCCGUGAAGGCCUUUCGCCCGGACUGCCUGGCCAGUGGUUCACUGCGUUGCAUUCCAUCGUGCCUUGGGAAGACUUACCUUCAUCACACCGUCCAUCACUGUGCUGUGGGACACUUACCUUGAAGGAUCCUGACAUCUCCAGUGCCAUGCCUGUCCUGGGAGCGUGAGGAUGCGAGUGUGAAUGUGACCCCCCACACUCUCUUUUGAGCUUAGCUAUCAAUAUAAUAAACGUGCUGCUUUCUGCCAAA